rnacentral:rRNA from 1 species
AGGACGAACGCUGGCGGCGUGCUUCAUACAUGCAAGUCGAGCGGAAAGGCCCUUCGGGGUACUCGAGCGGCGAACGGGUGAGUAACACGUGAGCAAUCUGCCUUCAGCUCCGGGAUAACAUUUGGAAACAGAUGCUAAUACCGGAUAUGACCUCAGAGGACAUCCUUUGAGGUGGAAAGUUUUUCGGCUGAAGAUGAGCUCGCGGCCUAUCAGCUUGUUGGCGGGUAACGGCCCACCAAGGCGACGACGGGUAGCCGGCCUGAGAGGGCGACCGGCCACACUGGGACUGAGACACGGCCCCAGACUCCUACGGGAGGCAGCAGUAGGGAAUAUUGCGCAAUGGGCGAAAGCCUGACGCAGCAACGCCGCGUGGGGGAUGAAGGCCUUCGGGUCGUAACCCUUUCAGCAGGGACGAAGUGCAAAUGACGGUACCUGCAGAAGAAGCACCGGCUAACUACGCGCCAGCAGCCGC